UGAAUGCACUAACUGUAAGUGGCUCUGGAUAAGAGCGUCUGCUAAAUGACUAAAA
rfam:Salmo salar isolate Sally breed double haploid chromosome ssa26, whole genome shotgun sequence.